ensembl:rRNA 5S_rRNA 5S ribosomal RNA
GUCUCUGGCCAUACAUCUUGAACAUACCCGAUCUCAUCUGAUCUCAGAAGUUAAGCAGGGUCAGACCUCAUUAGUACUUGGAUGGGAGAUUUUAAUCUACUUUAAAUUCUGUGGUAAGAACAUAAAUGGAUAGAAAGG